GACGAACGCUGGCGGCGUGCCUAAUACAUGCAAGUCGAGCGCAGGAAGUCAUCCGAACCCUUCGGGGGGACGUUGACGGAAUGAGCGGCGGACGGGUGAGUAACACGUAAAGAACCUGCCCUCAGGUCUGGGAUAACCACGAGAAAUCGGGGCUAAUACCGGAUGGGUCAUCGGACCGCAUGGUCCGAGGAUGAAAGGCGCUCCGGCGUCGCCUGGGGAUGGCUUUGCGGUGCAUUAGCUAGUUGGUGGGGUAAUGGCCCACCAAGGCGACGAUGCAUAGCCGACCUGAGAGGGUGAUCGGCCACACUGGGACUGAGACACGGCCCAGACUCCUACGGGAGGCAGCAGUAGGGAAUCUUCCACAAUGGACGAAAGUCUGAUGGAGCAACGCCGCGUGAACGAUGAAGGCCCUCGGGUCGUAAAGUUCUGUCGUAAGGGAAGAACAAGUGCCGCAGGCAAUGGCGGCAACUUGACGGUACCUUGCGAGAAAGCCACGGCUAACUACGUG
rnacentral:rRNA from 1 species